rnacentral:ncRNA from 1 species
CAUCGUGAGGUGGAAUCCGAAGAAAGCCGGAUGUGGGGAACCUACUAACCCAUGGGCAAAUCUCUGGUCUGACAAACAGAAAUCACAUAUAAGGCCAUGCAUGAGGGUAAGGUUGCAAGGCAAACCAAAGCCCGAUAACUACACGGAAUUCUGGGCAGACGAA